UACGAAGGGGGCUAGCGUUGCUCGGAAUUACUGGGCGUAAAGCGCACGUAGGCGGCUUCUUAAGUCGAGGGUGAAAUCCUGGAGCUCAACUCCAGAACUGCCUUCGAUACUGGAGAGCUUGAGUCCGGGAGAGGUGAGUGGAACUGCGAGUGUAGAGGUGAAAUUCGUAGAUAUUCGCAAGAACACCAGUGGCGAAGGCGGCUCACUGGCCCGGUACUGACGCUGAGGUGCGAAAGCGUGGGGAGCAAACAGG
rnacentral:rRNA from 1 species